GUUUUGCGUCUCAUUGUGUCUCUUGGUCUUCUCAUGUCUUCUCACCUUGGCGAUUUAGAUUCUAAAGUCGUCUCUCUUCCUCUUAUAAGCAAUUCUUCAGAGAAUCAGCUGAUUGGUGGAAGGGCUUCUAAUAAAGAUUACCUCUUGGCCUCUCCACCUCCUUCAUCAAACCCGAAAGUAACGUCUUUUGCUCCUCCAAAGCAGAUACCUACGGAGGCUGGCCGCAGAGACCAACUACGCCUGAAUCUGAGAUGUAAGGCCAUGUGGAUCUUCGACAUCGACUAGAAGCUCCUCACGAAUUUAGACUAGUACAUGGCUCAUGGUUACGGAUCAUAGAUCAAACUGAAAUCAUCUGUUUAAAUGGUCCUGACGGUGUGUAGCUGUCUUCAAUGGAGACGGUUGUGAUGUUCAGACUGAGAAUAGCAGUAAACAGAUGAUGUGUUUGUGAUUUCUGAGAAGAUUUAAUUUGGAUUCAACCAAUAUCAGAGCAGUUCUGAGAUUCAGGUCAAGUAUGAAGCCGAAACUUCUACUAACCCACCCAGUUUAUGAAGGCGACUCAAUUCAUGGACAAACAGAAAGAGGUGAAGUGAUCAAGAAUUUGAGGUGACCAUAGUUGGACAAAAUCGUUAUUUGUCAUUUUCUCCAGGCCCUUUUACUUGGAAGAAGGCCUUGGAGAAGGUCAACUUUGUGUCUUCUUCCGCAGCAAUCACUUAUAUACCAUGAUAAACGUUAAAUGACAAUGCAAUUUGAUCUGGUUACUGAUCAGUGCUAUUUGACGUGGGUCUUCAAGUGUGACGGUGGAAGAUGGGAUCAACAUGAUGCAACUAGUAAUAUUGAGGAUUAUAUCUACAUCAUCAACAAUUCAUCAGUGGGAGGCUUAGAGAUUGAGUCUGCACCGUUCGAGUCUAAUAGCUUUAGUGUAGGUGGAUGGUAGAAGGAAGAGCUCCAGCUUUUGAAGCGAGCUUGAGAUUGUACAAUGCUUUAAAAAAACUUGGGUUCUCUAUCGUUCUGCAACCCGGUCAGGAUGGCCAAAAGAGGGUCACCAAGACUUAUCUCUGAGACGCCACUUACAACGAGAUAUUAAUAUUGGGUUAGAGAUUUAGCACAACAAAAUAGAUUAUACUUUAUCUGCUUAUUUGCAGAGUAUCCCAGUUUAUAGAUAUGAAUGUUGCUGGCAAAAGUAGUGGACACCAUGUGCUUGCAAAGGGGAGAUGUCAAACUGAGGCGCUCUCCUAUAUGAUUAACUGAAUCUUAACGACGCUCUGAUGGCAUACCAAACAGCCACAAAAACUGCAGUUCAGAUUCAGGAGCGUUUAGGGAUAAAACGUUGAAAGCGGCACAGUCAAAGUUGAUCCAGUUUACCAACAUGGGAGCAGAGGCUAAGAGCAUAUGAUGAAGUUAUAGACGUUAUGCAUAGGAAUGUUAAGUAAUUAAUGACAUAGAAAUUAAUAAACCUCUCACGGAGGACUAGACAAUGGGAAUAUAUUAUUCUCAUGGUACACAAAAAUAAAUUAACAAUAAUAAUCCUAUAAUAGCAAAAUUAACGUUAGGCAGCUAAUUUU